rnacentral:ncRNA from 1 species
CAACGAAACGGCAAACCAAUUGAAAAGUUGGGACGCAAAGCUAAGGGCCUGUAAAAUGGCAGCCGGCUACCGAAA